rnacentral:ncRNA from 1 species
CAUCUUCGGGGCAGGGUGUAAUUCCCGACCGGCGGAAAUAGGAGCGAAAGCUUUUUAGCCCGCGAGCUUAACAGCUGAUUCCAGUGGGAUUCUGGAGCCGACAGUAUAGUCUGGAUGGGAGAAGGUG